UGGAGUCGAGAGCACAGACAGGAUUGAACGGACGGAUUAGCAGAAGCAGCAGCAGCAGCAGGAUCUUUUUUUACCUCGACCAAGAUAUUUCUUCAGUGUCACUGUUCUGCACAGCAAAAGUGCGCUGCUGUCCCUGGGAAGAAGCCUGAAACGUGGACACUCACCUUCAAUUAAAGGGGAUGAUCAGCUGUCAGGCGCGGGGGAUCGCCUUUUGCUGCUGCUGCUGAAGCAGAGGGGGGAAUGCACGGACGUGAGAAGAACCCCUUGAAAACCCCCCAUCAGCACGUCAUGGAACAUUUGCAGGAGAGGGACCACCCACUUUAAAGGCGUGCAACAGAGAGCAGACACAACAGUGAGCUGUGGCCUGUACUGAACUCACC